UGCGUAGGUGGCAUGGCAAGUUUGAUGUGAAAGCUCAGGGCUUAACCCUGAAAUGGCAUUGAAUACUGCUGGGCUGGAGGUUUGGAGGGGGGACUGGAAUUCUUGGUGUAGCAGUGAAAUGCGUAGAUAUCAAGAGGAACACCAGUGGCGAAGGCGAGUCCCUGGACAACACCUGACACUGAGGCACGAAAGCCGGGGGAGCAAACA
rnacentral:rRNA from 1 species